UCAUAAUCUACCCUGUGAAUCUAGAUCCAACAAUCCAACAUCCAAAUGUAAGCGAUAUAUUUUUUCUAUAUCUUCAAACUAUUCAACUACUGGCACAGGAGGAUAUGGAUAUCUGAACAUCGUGGAUUCUUUUGAUAAAGUUAUCGAUCUGCGUUUUUUCAGUCUUGAUAAUCAACAAAACCUUUUUGUGUCGAUUUCAAAAACAAAUUCUCUAUCAUGCACAUAGAUCAAAAAACUAGCAAAGAUCCGCAACAUUUUAAAACAAUAAACAUUCAAGUAGAAUCAGAUCGGUACCAGUUAGGUGUUCAUAGCAUUUCAAGAGUCGGUUUUUUGGGUUUGUCCUGAGGCCCUUGCACCUUAUUUCCAAGAUGACGUCGAUCUUGACGGAAGUUGCAGAUCUGAUCAGUAGUUCUUGACAUGUUUAUUCCUUAAAUAUCAAUAAAUUUGGUCCCUGUAGUAUACCGCUUGUUUUAGUUUUGGUCCAAGGUUUAAAUGGUCAUUCAAAAAAAUCCAGUAAUGCUGUGUUUUCAUUUCUGAUUGUUACGUUUAUCCUCCUUGCAGUGUGAAAGGGAAUACAGUAUUGGGUGAUUGAGGGCA